CCUCUACAGAAUACGGGAUGUGUUUGGAGCGUCCAGUCAUCAGAAGCAGAGCUGUGGGACGUGUGGACAGACAUUGACUGUAAUGAUGGACUUCUGCUGAUGGACGGAAGCAUAACCCCUGCUGGACAUCGUGGCGGGGUUCGGGGGGGGGACCCGACGCGUCCCCAUCCCCUUCACACAUACAGCAUUCACUCGUAUCGUGGAGAUCUGACUGGGAUCGAACCAGCAACCUCUGAAACCAUGAGGCAGCGCUCUUACCUGUGAGCCACAGAUCUCUUGUCUGUUUAUGUGCUGGAACUUAUAUUUGACUAGUGACCUGUAUGAUUGCCCAAUAAAGCAGUUAAAGCUUUGA